rnacentral:rRNA from 2 species
GCUGGCGGCGUGCCUAAUACAUGCAAGUCGAACGAACUCUGGUAUUGAUUGGUGCUUGCAUCAUGAUUUACAUUUGAGUGAGUGGCGAACUGGUGAGUAACACGUGGGAAACCUGCCCAGAAGCGGGGGAUAACACCUGGAAACAGAUGCUAAUACCGCAUAACAACUUGGACCGCAUGGUCCGAGUUUGAAAGAUGGCUUCGGCUAUCACUUUUGGAUGGUCCCGCGGCGUAUUAGCUAGAUGGUGGGGUAACGGCUCACCAUGGCAAUGAUACGUAGCCGACCUGAGAGGGUAAUCGGCCACAUUGGGACUGAGACACGGCCCAAACUCCUACGGGAGGCAGCAGUAGGGAAUCUUCCACAAUGGACGAAAGUCUGAUGGAGCAACGCCGCGUGAGUGAAGAAGGGUUUCGGCUCGUAAAACUCUGUUGUUAAAGAAGAACAUAUCUGAGAGUAACUGUUCAGGUAUUGACGGUAUUUAACCAGAAAGCCACGGCUAACUACGUGCCAGCAGCCGCGGUAAUACGUAGGUGGCAAGCGUUGUCCGGAUUUAUUGGGCGUAAAGCGAGCGCAGGCGGUUUUUUAAGUCUGAUGUGAAAGCCUUCGGCUCAACCGAAGAAGUGCAUCGGAAACUGGGAAACUUGAGUGCAGAAGAGGACAGUGGAACUCCAUGUGUAGCGGUGAAAUGCGUAGAUAUAUGGAAGAACACCAGUGGCGAAGGCGGCUGUCUGGUCUGUAACUGACGCUGAGGCUCGAAAGUAUGGGUAGCAAACAGGAUUAGAUACCCUGGUAGUCCAUACCGUAAACGAUGAAUGCUAAGUGUUGGAGGGUUUCCGCCCUUCAGUGCUGCAGCUAACGCAUUAAGCAUUCCGCCUGGGGAGUACGGCCGCAAGGCUGAAACUCAAAGGAAUUGACGGGGGCCCGCACAAGCGGUGGAGCAUGUGGUUUAAUUCGAAGCUACGCGAAGAACCUUACCAGGUCUUGACAUACUAUGCAAAUCUAAGAGAUUAGACGUUCCCUUCGGGGACAUGGAUACAGGUGGUGCAUGGUUGUCGUCAGCUCGUGUCGUGAGAUGUUGGGUUAAGUCCCGCAACGAGCGCAACCCUUAUUAUCAGUUGCCAGCAUUAAGUUGGGCACUCUGGUGAGACUGCCGGUGACAAACCGGAGGAAGGUGGGGAUGACGUCAAAUCAUCAUGCCCCUUAUGACCUGGGCUACACACGUGCUACAAUGGAUGGUACAACGAGUUGCGAACUCGCGAGAGUAAGCUAAUCUCUUAAAGCCAUUCUCAGUUCGGAUUGUAGGCUGCAACUCGCCUACAUGAAGUCGGAAUCGCUAGUAAUCGCGGAUCAGCAUGCCGCGGUGAAUACGUUCCCGGGCCUUGUACACACCGCCCGUCACACCAUGAGAGUUUGUAACACCCAAAGUCGGUGGGGUAACCUUUUAGGAACCAGCCGCCUAAGGUGGGACAGAUGAUUA